rnacentral:rRNA from 1 species
CGUAGACCCGAAACCAGGUGAUCUACCCAUGUCCAGGGUGAAGGUAAGGUAACACUUACUGGAGGCCCGAACCCACGUACGUUGAAAAGUGCGGGGAUGAGGUGUGGGUAGCGGUGAAAUUCCAAUCGAACCUGGAGAUAGCUGGUUCUCUCCGAAAUAGCUUUAGGGCUAGCCUCAAACGUUAGAAUCUCGGAGGUAGAGCACUGUUUGGACUAGGGGCCCAUCCCGGGUUACCGAAUUCAGACAAACUCCGAAUGCCGAUGAUUUAUGUUUGGGAGUCAGACUAUGGGUGAUAAGGUCCAUAGUCGAGAGGGAAACAGCCCAGACCGCCAGUUAAGGUCCCAAAGUAUUCGUUAAGUGGAAAAGGAUGUGGCGCUGCCCAGACAACCAGGAUGUUGGCUUAGAAGCAGCCAUCAUUUAAAGAGUGCGUAAUAGCUCACUGGUCGAGUGGCGCUGCGCCGAAAAUGUAUCGGGGCUAAACGAAUCACCGAAACUGCGGAUUGACACCUUUGGUGUCAGUGGUAGGAGAGCGUUCCAAGGGCGUUGAAGCUGGACCGGAAGGACUGGUGGAGCGCUUGGAAGUGAGAAUGCCGGUAUGAGUAGCGAAAGAAGGGUGAGAAUCCCUUCCACCGAAUGCCCAAGGUUUCCUGAGGAAGGCUCGUCCACUCAGGGUCAGUCGGGACCUAAGUCGAGGCCCGAUAGGCGUAGACGAUGGACAACAGGUUGAUAUUCCUGUACUACCUCCCACCGUUUGAGUGAUGGGUGACGCAGAAGGAUAGGGUGAGCGCGCUGUUGGUCAUGCGCGUCUAAGCAGUGAGGUGUGAAACGAGGCAAAUCCCCGUUUUCUAACAUUGAGCUGUGAUGGCAAGGGGUGUAUACCCUGGAGUCCCUGAUUUCACACUGCCAAGAAAAGCCUCUAACGAGGUGGGAGGUACCCGUACCGGCAAACCAACACAGGUAGGCGAGGAGAGAAUCCUAAGGUGAUCGAGAGAACUCUCGUUAAGGAACUCGGCAAAUGACCCCGUAACUUCGGGAGAAGGGGUGCUCUGGUAGGGUUUAUAGCCCGAGAGAGCCGCAGUGAAUAGGCCCAGGCGACUGUUUAGCAAAAACACAGGUCUCUGCAAAACCGUAAGGUGACGUAUAGGGGCUGACGCCUGCCCGGUGCUGGAAGGUUAAGAGGAGAGGUUAGCGCAAGCGAAGCUUCGAAUUGAAGCCCCAGUAAACGGCGGCCGUAACUAUAACGGUCCUAAGGUAGCGAAAUUCCUUGUCGGGUAAGUUCCGACCCGCACGAAAGGCGUAACGAUCUGGGCACUGUCUCAACGAGAGACUCGGUGAAAUUAUAAUAUGCGUGAAGAUGCGCAUUACCCGCGACAGGACGGAAAGACCCCGUGGAGCUUUACUGUAGCCUGAUAUUGAAUUCCGGUGCAGCCUGUACAGGAUAGGUAGGAGCCUAAGAGACCGGAGCGCUAGCUUCGGAGGAGGCAAUGGUGGGAUACUACCCUGGCUGUAUUGGACUUCUAACCCUUGCCCGUGAUCCGGGCAGGAGACAGUGUCAGGCGGACAGUUUGACUGGGGCGGUCGCCUCCUAAAGAGUAACGGAGGCGCCCAAAGGUUCCCUCAGAAUGGUUGGACAUCAUUCGUAGAGUGCAAAGGCAUAAGGGAGCUUGACUGCGAGACCUACAAGUCGAGCAGGGUCGAAAGACGGGCUUAGUGAUCCGGUGGUUCCGCAUGGAAGGGCCAUCGCUCAACGGAUAAAAGCUACCCCGGGGAUAACAGGCUUAUCUCCCCCAAGAGUCCACAUCGACGGGGAGGUUUGGCACCUCGAUGUCGGCUCAUCGCAUCCUGGGGCUGUAGUCGGUCCCAAGGGUUGGGCUGUUCGCCCAUUAAAGCGGUACGCGAGCUGGGUUCAGAACGUCGUGAGACAGUUCGGUCCCUAUCCGUCGCGGGCGCAGGAAAUUUGAGAGGAGCUGUCCUUAGUACGAGAGGACCGGGAUGGACACACCUCUGGUGUACCAGUUGUCUUGCCAAAGGCAUCGCUGGGUAGCUAUGUGUGGACGGGAUAAAUGCUGAAAGCAUCUAAGCAUGAAGCCCCCUCGAGAUGAGAUUUCCCAUUACGCAAGUAAGUAAGAUCCCUCAAAGAUGAUGAGGUGGAUAGGUCUGGUGUGGAAGCAUGGCGACAUGUGGAGCUGACAGAUACUAAUCGAUCGAGGACUUUCCCAA